AUAUAUGGCCAGGUGGCGCGUUGGACACACCCGAUCCCUCGAUCUCGGAAGUUAAGCUACGUGCAGUCCGGACAGUUCUUGGAUGGCCACCCAGGGACGACUGGAUGCUGUAGCCA
rnacentral:rRNA from 1 species